rnacentral:rRNA from 1 species
UUAGUUAGUUGGCGGAGUAACAGCCCACCAAGACGAUGAUCUGUAGCUGGUCUGAGAGGACGAACAGCCACACUGGAACUGAGACACGGUCCAGACUCCUACGGGAGGCAGCAGUGAGGAAUUUUGCUCAAUGGGCGCAAGCCUGAAGCAGCGACGCCGCGUGAAUGAUGAAGUCUUUCGGGAUGUAAAGUUCUGUCGAUGGGGACAAUAAUGAUGGUACCCAUAGAGGAAGCACCGGCAAACUAUGUGCCAGCAGCCGCGGUAAUACAUAGGGUGCAAGCGUUAUCCGGAUUUACUGAGCGUAAAGCGUAUGUAGGCGGUAUUUUAAGUCAAACUUCAAAGCCCGGGGCUCAACUUCGGUUCGGGUUUGAUACUGGAAUACUUGAGUUUGGGAGAGGAAAGCGGAACUAACAGUGUAGCGGUGAAAUGCGUAGAUAUUGUUAGGAACACCCGUGGCGAAGGCGGCUUUCUGGAUCAAUACUGACGCUGAGAUACGAAAGCGUGGGGAGCAAACAGGAUUAGAUACCCUGGUAGUCCACGCUGUAAACGAUGCACAUUAGGUAUAGGGGGUAUCGACUCCCUCUGUGCCGAAGCUAACGCGUUAAAUGUGCCGCCUGGGGAGUACGGUCGCAAGAUUAAAACUCAAAGGAAUUGACGGGGGCCCGCACAAGCAGUGGAUCAUGUGGUUUAAUUCGACGAUACCCGAAAAACCUUACCAGAACUUGACAUCUGGGGAAUUUCGCAGAAGUGCGAAAGUGCCCGCAAGGGAGCCUCAAGACAGGUGGUGCAUGGUUGUCGUCAGCUCGUGUCGUGAGAUGUUAGGUUAAGUCCUGCAACGAGCGCAACCCUCGUGUUGUGUUGCUACAUUAAGUUGAGCACUCUCAACAGACUGCCCGUGGUAAACGGGAGGAAGGUGGGGAUGAUGUCAAAUCAUCAUGCCCUUUAUGUUCUGGGCUACACACAUGAUACAAUGGCAAGCACAAAGGGAAGCCAAGCCGCAAGGCGGAGCAAAUCUCAAAAAACUUGCCUCAGUUCAGAUUAUAGGCUGCAACUCGCCUGUAUGAAGAUGGA